AGAGUUGGUCUAGAGGUUGCGGGAUCAUUUGAUCAAUGAUUCCGAGGAAAGUCCGAACUCCCGAAAGACCACACUUGCUGGAUAACGUCCAGUGCGCGCGAGCGUGAGGAUAGUGCCACAGAAAAAUACCGCCCCCUUUUUUCAGUAAUCAGUAAACAGUAACGAAAGUAAAUUCACUGAUAACUGAUCACUGAUUGGGGGUAAGGGUGCAAAGGUGCGGUAAGAGCGCACCAGCAGUAUCGAGAGGUACUGGCUCGGUAAACCCCGGUGGGGAGCAAGGUGGAGGGACAAAGGUUGGUCUUUUUCCUGUCCCGUUUUUAGGAACCGCUUGAGGUAAUUGGUAACAAUUAUCCCAGAUAGAUAACCUCUAUUCCAACAAAGGUAAAAGCGAUUUUACUGCUGUUGGGAAAUACAGAAUUCGGCUUAUGUCUGACUCUCUCC
rnacentral:RNase_P_RNA from 3 species